CUCCCUCUGAUCCAACCUGGAAUCUUCCAGACUGAGGGGUCAGGAAUACUGCACAGAUGUGGAGUUCACUGAGUGCACUGCAACAGUACAGUAUAUGAUGAAUGCAGUAACACCUAGGGGCUAAGCUGGUAGAAAGAGAAGUUCCGGUCCCCACAAUUUCUAAUGGCAGCCCUGUAUUUCUGAAGUGAACAAAGUAUCAAGGCAGUGAGGAACUCAUUGGAGACUCCCAAAACAGUACAGCAUUUUCCCGUAUUGUGCCCACUUCCAUAGUGUCUCGCAGACGCCCUCCUCCUCAUCCACAAACUCCUUCCAAGUCGGACGGUCAUGACGUUGGUAUGUUGCAACUUAUCCUAACAAUAAACUUUAUCGG